rnacentral:rRNA from 1 species
UACGGGGGGAGCAAGCGUUGUUCGGAUUUACUGGGCGUAAAGGACGCGUAGGCGGCGCAACAAGUCACUUGUGAAAUCUCCGGGCUUAACCCGGAGCGGUCAAGUGAUACUGUCGUGCUAGAGUGCGGAAGGGGCUACUGGAAUUCUCGGUGUAGCGGUGAAAUGCGUAGAUAUCGAGAGGAACACCUGCGGCGAAGGCGGGUAGCUGGGCCGACACUGACGCUGAUGCGCGAAAGCCAGGGGAGCGAACGGG